GAUGAAGAACGUAGCGAAAUGCGAUAAGAAGUGUGAAUUGCAGAAUUCAGUGAAUCAUCGAAUCUUUGAACGCACAUUGCGCCCCUUGGUAUUCCAUGGGGCAUGCCUGUUCGAGCGUCAUUUGUACCUUCAAGCUUUGCUUGGUGUUGGGUGUUUGUCUCGCCUUUGCGUGUAGACUCGCCUUAAAAUAAUUGGCAGCCGGCGUAUUGAUUUCGGAGCGCAGUACAUCUCGCGCUUUGCACUCAUAACGACAGCGUCCAAAAGUACAUUUUACACUCUUGACCUCGGAUCAGGUAGGGAUACCCGCUGAACUUAAGCAUAUCAAUAAGCGGAGGA
rnacentral:misc_RNA from 1 species